rnacentral:misc_RNA from 1 species
AUUUCUCCAGUUUGCAACUGAGUUCCAUUUUAUCUUAUUUUGUAUUCCCUGAUUUUCCUGUACAGUGCUGCAUAUUCCAGACCUACCCCAUACAAUCGUGCAGCCGGGAAUCAAUCGCCUUUUUUCUUUUUACUUCUAAAGUUUCCGGUGCCAGAUCUCCAUUUUGCUGUGCACUGAAGUUCUGGACCCAAUGUGUUAAUUCUGGUUCAACCCAUAUCAACUUAGCCUCCUGGACUUGGAGGAUCACCAAUGAGAUGAGGCAUAAUUUCCGCACAAAUAUUCAGGAAGGGUUUUCCAUUCGAUGUUAUAAUCGUGCCCAAGAAGGAAAAAUGGCAUUUGCCAUCAUCUGGAUAAACAUUA